rnacentral:rRNA from 1 species
GUGGGGAAUCUUGCGCAAUGGGCGAAAGCCUGACGCAGCCAUGCCGCGUGAAUGAUGAAGGUCUUAGGAUUGUAAAAUUCUUUCACCGGGGACGAUAAUGACGGUACCCGGAGAAGAAGCCCCGGCUAACUUCGUGCCAGCAGCCGCGGUAAUACGAAGGGGGCUAGCGUUGCUCGGAAUUACUGGGCGUAAAGGGCGCGUAGGCGGACAGUUAAGUUGGGGGUGAAAGCCCGGGGCUCAACCUCGGAACUGCCUUCAAUACUGGCUGUCUUGAGUAUGAGAGAGGUGUGUGGAACUCCGAGUGUAGAGGUGAAAUUCGUAGAUAUUCGGAAGAACACCAGUGGCGAAGGCGACACACUGGCUCAUUACUGACGCUGAGGCGCGAAAGCGUGGGGAGCAAACAGGAUUAGAAACCCGUGUAGUCC